CGUUCUUGUAAUGAGUAUUACGAACCUGAUGAACGGUUGAAGUCACAAUGUGGGAGGAUGGUCCUGUCUCAAGACGCUGUUAAGCCACGAUGGCAUGAUGGCAUUUAUGUGAUCAGUGAUCAAACAAACUCCUCAUGCUGCCUCCUAUCAGUGGUCACAUGAAUUAUUUGUUAUGAUGUCCAUAGCAGCACCGAUGACAUAAUUGUCUAUACUAAUAUCAGUAAUAUGAAUUAUUUAAGCUGCAAACUGUCAGUGGCUUGGCAGCCCAGCAUAAUGUAUUAGGUUAAUUUGUUGUUAUAGUCACAUCAGAAGAAAGUAUCUUCUGUGGAUGGAAGUGAAUUAGUGAGCUUUCUAAAAAUUAAGUAUAGUAUUUCUGUGGUGUAAUCCGUAACUGUAUCACUUUUGUGGAUUAAGACGAUAAAUAUGAGUGUGUGUGAAAAGAAUAGUUAUAGCAAAUGGAAGGAUCAAUUACUAUUCCUAUAUAUGAUUAAGGAGAUAAUGUUAAGCAGUGUGUGGUGUAGAGUACACCUUUGGAACCUUUGUGUCUUCCAAAGAGUAUUACUUUUCAAUUUUGGUGUUGCUUUAACAUAAAAAUGAGAAUGUGAAUUAUGUGAUGAAGUACAAUAUUAGUGUUGUUUUUGAUACCUUCACACACCAUAUUAUUCAUUUGAUAUCGCCACCAUUUCAUAAAACUUUAAUGUCAUAUCUUAUUUUAUUUUAUUGUUUUGUAUGCAUUUGAUUCUUGCUUUGCAAUUUUAAUCUAUUCCAUGGUAGGAUCAUUGGAAUUUAUCUGUUCAGUUGCAGAGAGACUAUUUUGAAGUGAGAAAAUUCCAGUAGUGUGUCAGGACUUAUAUUGCAUGUGUUAUUGGACCAGGACUUUUGAUAGGCCUUCAUAUAGUGUGGUCAGCUUUUUUGAUAGAUAAUAUCUGAGUUUCAUAACCUUUAGGUGUAUAAUUGAGAAGUGAUAAGUAAAUAUAAUGUAUAUUGAAAGUAGUAAUAAUUUCAUAUGAUGUGUAGGUGAUUGGUUGCGUAGUGUGGAUGGACGUGAAGUUACAUUCCAAACCAUCGACUCAGUUCUAACAAAUCUCAGCACUCCUGGUAGAGCUGAAGUUGCAGCGAGUUGCAGGUCGUGAUGUUACAGCACAGUUGUCAGUUGAAAGCCCACCCAAGGGAAUUCAGCAGUCAGAUUUGGUGAAACAGCUAUUAAGGGACCACUGGUGCUGGUGAACUGAGCUGUGUUCUACAGGAACUCCCAGUAGGAGUGUUAUACCUCACACAAGAAGGUCUUACUGAAGGAGGUCCUGAGAACCAGGGUGUUCUGUAUUGCUACCCAGCUCCUAUGCAGAGCAAUACGCUGUGUUCUGCACGAGAAGCCUUCAUUACAUUGCAGCAUCUUCUUCCUGAUGUGGCCCCAUCUCCGCCAGUGAGGUGAAUGUCCAUACUGCAGCAAUCAACUAUAUUGAAGUUCAGUACUCCCGCCGACUGUGAAGUGCGGUCAGUGAUAACGCUAGGCCGCACACGACUCGACG